UACGUAGGGGGCCAGCGUUGUCCGGAAUCAUUGGGCGUAAAGCGCGCGUAGGCGGUCAGGUAAGUCCGGUGUGAAAGUCAAAGGCUCAACCUUUGAAUGCCGCUGGAAACUGCCUGACUUGAGUCCGGUAGGGGCGAGUGGAAUUCCUGGUGUAGCGGUGAAAUGCGCAGAUAUCAGGAAGAACACCCGUGGCGAAGGCGGCUCUCUGGGACGGUACUGACGCUGAGACGCGAAAGCGUGGGGAGCGAACAGG
rnacentral:rRNA from 1 species